GCCCUAGUAGCUUAGCAUGAAAGCAUCGGUCUUGUAAUCCGAAGACCGGGGGUUAAAUUCCCCCCUAGCGCC
rnacentral:tRNA from 1 species